UCUGCUCCAACUUUAGAUUCAUAAUUCUCUCAUGGGUUGUGGGAGCUCACAGCUCCAUCCCCAUACAGGCUGUGGUCUCUCAGGAAGGUAGCAGUGUGAUCUACAAGAUGAGACUGCUGGGUCUUCUCCUGUGCCUGAUGACAAGUCCCCAUGGUGUCUUGUCCCAGGUGCAGCUACAGGAGUCAGAUUCUGGCUUGGUGAAGCCCACACAGACCCUGUCCCUCACCUGCUCAGUCUCUGGAAUCUCCAUCACAACCAGUUAUUACUGUUGGAACUGGAUGCGUCAGCCCCCAGGAAAGAGCCUGGAGUGGAUGGGAUACAUAUGCUACAGUGGUAGUACUGGCUACAACCCGUCCCUCCAGAGCCGCAUCUCCGUCUCCAGAGACACAGGCAAGAACCAGUUCUCCCUGAAGCUGAACUCUGUCACCACAGAAGACACAGCCAUCUAUUACUGUGCAAGAUACACAGUGUUUUGAUGCAAGUGUGAGCCCACACAUAAACCUUCCCGCAGGGAAAAUCACACCCAGCAGGGGGUGCCAUGCACAAGUUGCUCUAGGGAACCAGCUUCACAGGUCUGUCCUGACAGUCUGGAAGGUUUUUUUUAGUAGUCCAAGGACAGAGAUUCUAGGGGCCUUCUAUGUCUCUCAUCCUACAGUGUUAUGUUUUUAUAGAAUCAGGCUUUUACUCUUUUCCCAUCCAUUUCAUUACUGAUUGCACAAUGCAUUUUCAAUAAAGCCCUUUUUCACAACGUAAGUGACUACACAACUCAAGAGAUUUUAGGUACACAAAUAUUUAGUAUUUAUUUAUCUAUGACUGGAAGUCUGGCCUCCACCUUCAGAUGCACCUGCGUGGCAUCUCAUCCUGAAGGGCACUUUCCAUUUCUGUUCAUGCAGAGACUUUUAAUCUAAAUGGCUGGACAUCGCUGUGUGAGUGUUGAUUUGAGUGUUCACCUGUUAUUGGAGCUGUUUGUUUCCCCACCAUUGGAGAUGUAGGGUGAUACCUUGGAGAGCUGUGGUGAAUUCCACUGUGGAGGGGCCUCUCUUGACAUCACAUUGAUAGAGAUCAUCACACUGUCACACAUCCUACAGUCAUAGGGCACUGCCCAAGCAGUGUUUAUUAGAGUCUAGCAUCAGUAGUAGAGAGUUUCAGAAACUAUUGCAGAAUGUCUUAAAUGUUGUGUCUGUUUUUAUGGCAAAGUAAAUCUGCUCUAUUUACAUUA